AACUACUGAGUGGAUACCCUAUGUUGGAAAAGUGACUAGGGAGUGGUGACCCUAUGUCUAAAAUAAAAUCAACUAGUGAGUGGAGACCCUAUGUUUGAAAAGCGACUAAAAACAUGAGACCCUAUGUCUAAAAUAAAAUCAACUAGGGAGUGGAGACCCUAUGUUGGAAAAGCGACUAAGGAGUAGAGAUCCUAUGUCUAAAAUAAAAUCAACUAAGGAGUGGAUACCCUAUGUCGGAAAAGAGACUAAGGAGAGGAGACCCUAUGUCUAAAAUAGAAUCAACUAAAGAGUGGAUACCCUAUGUUGGAAAAGCAACUAGGGAGUGAAGACCCUAUGUCUAAAAUAAAAUCAACUAGUUAGUGGAGACCCUAUGUUUUCAAAAGCGACUGGGGAGUGGAGACCCUAUGUCUAAAAUAAAAUCAACUAGGGAGAGGAGACCCUAUGUUGGAAAAGUGAUUAGUGAGUGGAAACCCUAUGUCUAAAAUAAAGUCAACUAUGGAGUGAAGACCCUAUUUUGGAAAAGCGACUAGACAAUGGAGACCCUAUGUCU
rnacentral:lncRNA from 1 species